rnacentral:rRNA from 1 species
UACGUAGGGUGCAAGCGUUAAUCGGAAUUACUGGGCGUAAAGCGUGCGCAGGCGGUUAUGUAAGACAGGUGUGAAAUCCCCGGGCUUAACCUGGGAACUGCAUUUGUGACUGCAUAGCUAGAGUACGGUAGAGGGGGAUGGAAUUCCGCGUGUAGCAGUGAAAUGCGUAGAUAUGCGGAGGAACACCGAUGGCGAAGGCAAUCCCCUGGACCUGUACUGACGCUCAUGCACGAAAGC